rnacentral:SRP_RNA from 1 species
UGCAGCCGGGGAGCCAGCGGUGCCCUGUACCUGCAAUCCGCUACAGCAGGGGUGAUGCCGAACCGAGGCUCUUUUUCUGUGGAGCUGCCGCAUAUAAGUGGCGUUGAAGUCUGGGUCUUACGCAAUGGAAAUCUGUGAACCGUGUCAGGUCAGGAAUGAAGCAGCACUAAGCAGAACCUUUCAUGUGCCGUGAGGGUGCCUGGGCCGAGUUAACUGUAUGUGUACCGUCCAUGGGGGAGCUGUCGAAGGGAGGCGCGCG